rnacentral:rRNA from 1 species
UAGGGAAUCUUCGGCAAUGGACGAAAGUCUGACCGAGCAACGCCGCGUGAGUGAAGAAGGUUUUCGGAUCGUAAAACUCUGUUGUUAGAGAAGAACAAGGACGUUAGUAACUGAACGUCCCCUGACGGUAUCUAACCAGAAAGCCACGGCUAACUACGUGCCAGCAGCCGCGGUAAUACGUAGGUGGCAAGCGUUGUCCGGAUUUAUUGGGCGUAAAGCGAGCGCAGGCGGUUUCUUAAGUCUGAUGUGAAAGCCCCCGGCUCAACCGGGGAGGGUCAUUGGAAACUGGGAGACGUGAGUGCAGAAGAGGAGAGUGGAAGUCCAUGUGUAGCGGUGAAAUGCGUAGAUAUAUGGAGGAACACCAGUGGCGAAGGCGGCUCUCUGGUCUGUAACUGAAGCUGAGGCUCGAAAGCGUGGGGAGCAAACAGG